rnacentral:rRNA from 1 species
GAUGAACGCUAGCUACAGGCUUAACACAUGCAAGUCGAGGGACCGGCGCACGGGUGAGUAACACGUAUCCAACCUGCCCUUUCCUCGGGGAUAGCCUUUCGACAGAAAGAUUAAUACCCGAUCUAAAGGGUGGGGAUGCGUUCCAUUAGGUUGUGGGUGAGGUAACGGCUCACCAAGCCUUCGAUGGAUAGGGGGUCGGAGAGGAAGGUCCAUCGCAUUGGAGCUGGGGCCCGGUCCAAACUGGUACGCGAGGCAGCAGUGAGGAAUAUUGGUCAAUGGGGGCUAGCCUGAACCAGCCAAGUAGCGGGAAGGAUGAAUGCUUAUUGGUCGUAAACUGCUUUGAUAGAAGAAUAUGUAUCAUAUGAGUAAGGAUCGGCUAACUCCGUGCCAGCAGCCGCGGUAAUUC